rnacentral:misc_RNA from 1 species
AUUCAACACAACAAUAUAAACUAAAAUUCCAUAUUCAUUCUACAAAUUUCAUUACAACCCAAACCAAGUUGACAUCCAUAUUUCAUUACAUCAAUAAAAAACAAACAAUAAAAAAUUAACACUACAACAACUAAUAUAUUUUUAUUCCUACCACAACUAGCAAAAUAAUCAACAUCCAAAUACUUUUCUUCAAAUACUCUAAAAUCAUCUCAAUCCUAUCAAGCGUCUCUGGUAUUAUUCUCUGUUCUUCCUUCACUUUCUUCACAUCAUUCUUCAUCUUUAUAAUCUCUUCCUUGAGUUUGGGUACCUCCUCUUGCAACUCAUUCACGAACUGUGAAAAAGAUGGGUUUCUUCCUUCAGAGGUGUUCAUGGUGACAUUAGUUUGAGGUGCAGUUGAAGGUACAGGUUCACACCAGGCAAUAAAAGUGCCACACUUUUUAUCUCUCUUCUCAUGAUGACUCUUGCCUUGUCUAAUCUUUAUUGGCUUGGUGGCCUUGUAAAUACUCUCAAGAGACCUCAUUCUUUUCUUCCUUCGCCGUUCAAUGAUAAACUCCUCUUCUUUACCAAAAAUCUCUUCAAUCUUCUUCGUCGAAGUGAUCUCAUCUUGGCUGUUCCGAUCAAAUUCCUCGUCCUUAUCCUUAUCGUGAUCUAACUUGUUC